rnacentral:rRNA from 1 species
AUACGGAGGGUGCAAGCGUUAUUCGGAAUCACUGGGCGUAAAGGGUGCGUAGGCGGUUUGAUAAGUCUGAUGUGAAAUCCUAUGGCUCAACCAUAGAACUGCAUUGGAAACUGUCAGACUAGAAUACUGAAGGGGCAGAUGGAAUUAGUGGUGUAGGGGUAAAAUCCGUAGAUAUCACUAGGAAUACCGAAAGCGAAAGCGAUCUGCUGGGAAGUUAUUGGCGCUGAGGCACGAAAGCGUGGGGAGCAAACGGGAUUAGAAACCCUUGUAGUCC